CCCUACGGGACGCAGCAGUGAGGAAUAUUGGUCAAUGGGCGCAAGCCUGAACCAGCCAAGUCGCGUGAGGGAUGACGGUCCUAUGGAUUGUAAACCCCUUUUGUCGGGGAGCAAGGCCCGCCACGUGUGGCGGGAAGGAGAGUACCCGAAGAAAAAGCAUCGGCUAACUCCGUGCCAGCAGCCGCGGUAAUACGGAGGAUGCGAGCGUUAUCCGGAUUUAUUGGGCGUAAAGCGAGUGCAGGCGGUUGCUUUGGGUUG
rnacentral:rRNA from 1 species